CCCAGACUCCUACGGGAGGCAGCAGUGGGGGAUAUUGCACAAUGGGGGGAACCCUGAUGCAGCGACGCCGCGUGGGUGAAGGAGCGUUUCGGCGCGUAAAGCCCUAUCGGCAGGGAAGAAGGAGGACGGUACCUGACUAAGAAGCCCCGGCUAACUACGUGCCAGCAGCCGCGGUAAUACGUAGGGGGCAAGCGUUAUCCGGAUUUACUGGGUGUAAAGGGGGCGCAGACGGCAGCGCAAGCCAGGAGUGAAAGCCCGGGGCCCAACCCCGGGACUGCUCUUGGAACUGCGCGGCUGGAGUGCAGGAGGGGCAGGCGGAAUUCCUGGUGUAGCGGUGAAAUGCGUAGAUAUCAGGAGGAACACCGGUGGCGAAGGCGGCCUGCUGGACUGCGACUGACGUUGAGGCCCGAAAGCGUGGGGAGCAAACAGGAUUAGAUACCCCAGUAAA
rnacentral:rRNA from 1 species